GUUUCUCAUCUAGUGGGACGAGUUUCUGGAAUUGUGUCGAUGAUUAUUCUGGAUUAUUCUGCCCAAUUAAGCUAUCUUCGUCAGGUCGGUGAGGCUCUCCGGUCAGUGUAGUUUCAGUGACAGUGUUGUGAGUGCUUUUAGCUUGGCGUCGGGCAAAUGGAUAACCUACCGCUGAGACCUGUGCUGUGACCUACAACCCCCACGCAAGGUAUGUAAAUCACUGUUGCACUUAUUACGCAUUAAUUAAAGUCCCUCGUCUCGAGUUCAGAAUAUCUGAAACAGACUCGUCGAAUCACUUAUUCUGCCCUAAUGGGUCACUAAACCAUGAACCAAUUGGACCGCGUAAACAGAAAGAAACCAAGCCACAUUAGCUGUAGCCAAAAUUUAAUUGGGGCAGUCUAACUUUUCACACGAAACCAGUUGUGCGGAUUUUUCUGCAAAUUUCAGUGAAUUUUCUGCAUAGUACAAAGCAAAUACCUUAAAUUUUCAAAGGAAUUUGCACAAAGUUUUCUUGGUAAAAAUUAAAUUGCCCAAUUAAAUUUGGCAA
rnacentral:lncRNA from 1 species